AACAAACCAUCCUACUUUAAAGGUAACACAGUUUUAACCAGGAAAAAACUUUUUUAAAAUUUAAACUAUAUCCAUUUAUGAGAUCCUAGAUGCACUCUCCAAAAUUUAAACUAUAUCCAUUUAUGAGAUCCUAGAUGCACUCUCCAUCACAGCAUAUAGGUGGAUAACCUAAUGUCAUUUCAAAAUUUAAACGUUUAUUUCCUUCUCUCUCUCUCAAAAUCCCUACUCCCAUUUCAAAAUUCAAAAAAUAUGUAACCACAUAUUUGUGAAGAUGGCGGCCUCUGUUCACGUAAGACGACAAAGGUAAGACGACGGUCACCCACCCUCAUCAAGCACCGACUGUCAUCGCCACCACUCACACAACCCAUCUCCGUCUCCAGUCACCCACCACCGUACUCCUUCUCCACCCUGAACCCCAAUCGCCGUACAAGGACGUAUUUCUGGUGGUCGUCUUCGGCGUUGGAACGGACACAUCAAUCACUGGGUUUGAAGAGGGGUUAUCGCAUACAUGGUCAGCCUAGGGUUAGGAUGAAGAUGCAGUGAGAUGACGGCACAUCUUCUUACAGACCAACUGAAGAUUUCAAACAUCCUUAAAGAGCAGCCCUUCAUUAGCCUUUUCAGUAUCUCAGAGUUAAAAACAGGUUUUAAUGUUUUAAUUCGUUAAUGUUGCUCCCAAAAAGAGUUUGUGUUUCUUUGUUUAAUCACCGGUGGUUACAUACAUGCUAAUUUAAUUCAAAAUUGAACUAUAAUAUUCACCAAAAACAGAUUGACCAGGUGGUAGCACAUUAACGGUGGCGAGCAACUGACUUGCAAUAGGAACUUUCUUAUCGUCGUUCCUGUAGCGUUGUAAGUUCUCUUAGUUUAAGUUUAUACCAUCAUUACUAUCUUUUGAUAUCAUUGCAUUUGAAGUUUAUAACUGUUAGUUAUGACCUGUAAGUCUCUCUUGGAAAAGAAACUAUGCAAAUAACGCUGGACCCAACUUUUGACACUAAAAAAAUGAAAAGUAUCCUUGAUGCAGGACUGGUCAUUAUAAGAUAAUAGAUUUGGAUGUAACUAUAACUAGCAAAAUAAGUGGGGUAACGCCGUAACGGGAUCAGAAUGGGUUCGGGGUUUGGGUCAAACCUAAUACGAAAUUCGUGGUUUUGGGUUUGGUAUAAACGGUUUCGGGUCAGUUUCAGCCGAACCCGCUUAGCUAAACGGUCCGUGUUUGGGUCGAAUCCGACAGGGUCAAGGAGAAGGAUCUGUUGGUAUGUAUGCAUGUUCAAAUUUAAUAGAUACUAUAAAAAGUUAUUCAAGAAAGUUAAUUACAUAUCUGGGCAGGUGCUUAUCUUGAUAUGAAUGGAAACAAGGUGUCUACUCCAGCCGAUGCAUUAAUCCUCACCUUGUGUCGCCAGAGGAAAGGCCAGUUUUAAAUGGCUUGACAUCAUUCCCAGAAUCAGAGACUUCGCCAAGAAGCAGUUCCGGUAGCAACGGUAUUGUUCAGCCACGGUUUGCUCGCGCUUCCUCUUUAGGAGUGGCUUUGCAUAAGGAAAUAGUAGCGGCUCUUGCUGACUUGUUAUAUAAUGAUGAAAAAUUAAGUCUCAUCGAUGUGCUGAUAUUGAACAAAUUCUAAACCAUUCCGAGAUGACAACGCAAGUUUUUCUACAAGCAGUCCGGUAUCUUGCUCAAUCCAUGCUUGAAAAUAUUGAGGUGAUCGAGUCUGUACAGCACUUGUCAACAAACACCAUGGAAGCUCUAAAAGGGCUUCGAAAGAUUAGUAACAUUUUAUCGGAGAUGUGAGGUGAUUUUCUUCUUUAUAAUACAUAUAAACUGUAAUUAUGAUUUUUGGGAGUGGAUGGCACUCUUGUAAUUUAGGUUAACAGCUUCCGGUUAGCUUGUAAAUGUAAAUAUAUACAUGUAUCAUAUUAUUUGAGUGACAAA